rnacentral:rRNA from 1 species
UACGAAGGGGGCUAGCGUUGCUCGGAAUCACUGGGCGUAAAGCGCACGUAGGCGGCUUCUUAAGUCAGGGGUGAAAUCCUGGAGCUCAACUCCAGAACUGCCUUUGAUAACUGGGGAGCUUGAGUCCGGGAGAGGUGAGUGGAACUGCGAGUGUAGAGGUGAAAUUCGUAGAUAUUCGCAAGAACACCAGUGGCGAAGGCGGCUCACUGGCCCGAUACUGACGCUGAGGCACGAAAGCGUGGGGAGCAAACAGG